rnacentral:rRNA from 1 species
GAACGCUAGCGACAGGCCUAACACAUGCAAGUCGAGGGGCAGCGCGGGAGAAGCUUGCUUACUUUGGUGGCGACCGGCGCACGGGUGCGUAACAGGUGUGCAAUCUGUCCAUAAUCGGGGAAUAGCCCAGCGAAAGUUGGAUUAAUGCUCCAUGUGAGUUUUAGAGGCAUCUCUUUAACUUGAAACGCAAGGAUUAUGGGUGAGCACGCUUCUGAUUAGGUAGUUGGUGAGGUAACGGCUCACCAAGCCGACGAUCAGUAGGGGUUCUGAGAGGAAGGUCCCCCACAUUGGAACUGAGACACGGUCCAAACUCCUACGGGAGGCAGCAGUGAGGAAUAUUGGUCAAUGGGCGAAAGCCUGAACCAGCCAAGUCGCGUGAAGGAUGAAGGUUCUAUGGAUUGUAAACUUCUUUUGUCUGAGGGUAAAAAAGCGGACGUGUCCGUUCUUGCAAGUAUCAGACGAAUAAGCAUCGGCUAACUCCGUG